GAUGAACGCUGGCGGCGUGCCUAAUACAUGCAAGUCGAGCGAACAGACGAGGAGCUUGCUCCUCUGACGUUAGCGGCGGACGGGUGAGUAACACGUGGAUAACCUACCUAUAAGACUGGGAUAACUUCGGGAAACCGGAGCUAAUACCGGAUAAUAUAUUGAACCGCAUGGUUCAAUAGUGAAAGACGGUUUUGCUGUCACUUAUAGAUGGAUCCGCGCCGCAUUAGCCAGUUGGUAAGGUAACGGCUUACCAAGGCAACGAUGCGAAGCCGACCUGAGAGGGUGAUCGGCCACACUGGAACUGAGACACGGUCCAGACUCCUACGGGAGGCAGCAGUAGGGAAUCUUCCGCAAUGGGCGAAAGCCUGACGGAGCAACGCCGCGUGAGUGAUGAAGGUCUUCGGAUCGUAAAACUCUGUUAUUAGGGAAGAACAAAUGUGUAAGUAACUAUGCACGUCUUGACGGUACCUAAUCAGAAAGCCACGGCUAACUACGUG
rnacentral:rRNA from 1 species